AGAGUGAACGCUGGCGGCAGGCCUAACACAUGCAAGUCGAACGGCAGCACAGGGGAGCUUGCUCCCUGGGUGGCGAGUGGCGGACGGGUGAGGACAACGUCGGAAUCUGCCUUUUUGUGGGGGAUAACGUAGGGAAACUUACGCUAAUACCGCAUACGACCCCAGGCCGGGAGGUUUGGGGUGAAAGCGGAGGACCUUCGGGCUUCGCGCAGAAAGAUGAGCCGACGUCGGAUUAGCUAGUUGGUGGGGUAAAGCCCACCAAGGCGACGAUCCGUAGCUGGUCUGAGAGGAUGAUCAGCCACACUGGAACUGAGACACGGUCCAGACUCCUACGGGAGCAGCAGUGGGGAAUAUUGGACAAUGGGCGCAAGCCUGAUCCAGCCAUGCCGCGUGUG
rnacentral:rRNA from 1 species